UCGAGGGAUGCAAGCGUUAUCCGGAAUUAUUGGGCGUAAAGCGUUUGUAGGCGGGCGAGUGUGUUUAAUGUUAAAUCUUAAAGCUCAACUUUGAAAUUGCGUUAAAAACUGCUUGUCUUGAGUAUGGUAGGGGUAAAGGGAAUUCCCAGUGUAGCGGUGAAAUGCGUAGAUAUUGGGAAGAACACUAAACAGCGAAGGCACUUUACUAGGCUAAUACUGACGCUGAGAAACGAAAGGUAAGGUAGCGAAACGGAUUAGAUACCCGUGUAGUCUUACCCGUAAACUAUGGACACUAAACGGUAAAUUUUUAAUUUACUGUUAAAGCUAACGCGUUAAGUGUCCCGCCUGGGGAGUAUGCUUGCAAAAGUGAAACUCAAAGGAAUUGACGGGGGCCCGCACAAGCGGUGGAGCAUGUGGUUUAAUUCGACGGUACACGAAGAACCUUACCAGGAUUUGACAUGCUAGAUAGUUGCUUGAAAGAGUAACGUGCCGUAAGGAAUCUAGACACAGGUGGUGCAUGGCUGUCGUCAGUUCGUGUUGUGAAAUGUUGGGUUAAGUCCCGCAACGAACGCAACCCUUGUCUUUAGUUAUUUUCUAAAGAGACUGCCUGUAAUAAACAGGAGGAAGGUAAGGAUGAGGUCAAGUCAUCAUGCCCCUUAUGUCCUGGGCUACACACGUGCUACAAUGGGAAAGACAAUGAGCUGCAAAUCUGUAAAUUUAAGCAAAUCUCUUAAACUUUCUCGUAGUUCGGAUUGUGGGCUGCAACUCGCCCACAUGAAGUUGGAAUCGCUAGUAAUCGCCAGUCAGCUAUAUGGCGGUGAAUCCGUUCCCGGGCCU
rnacentral:rRNA from 1 species